GAUGAACGCUAGCGGCAGGCCUAAUACAUGCAAGUCGGACGGGAUCGGGGAGCUUGCUCCCCGUGAGAGUGGCGCACGGGUGCGUAACACGUAUGUAACCUACCUUUAUCAGGGGGAUAGCCUCUCGAAAGAGAGAUUAACACCGCAUAACAUCACAUGAUAGCAUUAUCGAGUGAUCAAAUAUUCAUAGGAUAAAGAUGGGCAUGCGGGACAUUAGCUAGUUGGCGGGGUAACGGCCCACCAAGGCGACGAUGUCUAGGGGAUCUGAGAGGAUGACCCCCCACACUGGUACUGAGACACGGACCAGACGCCUACGGGAGGCAGCAGUAAGGAAUAUUGGUCAAUGGACGCAAGUCUGAACCAGCCAUGCCGCGUGCAGGAGGACGGCCCUACGGGUUGUAAACUGCUUUUGUACCGGAAUAAACCCUUUUACGUGUAAGAGGCUGAAUGUACGGUAAGAAUAAGGAUCGGCUAACUCCGUGCCAGCCGCCGCCGUAAAAC
rnacentral:rRNA from 1 species